rnacentral:rRNA from 1 species
UACGUAGGGUGCGAGCGUUAAUCGGAAUUACUGGGCGUAAAGCGUGCGCAGGCGGCGCCGCAAGUCGAGUGUGAAAUCCCCGAGCUUAACUUGGGAAUUGCGCUCGAAACUACGGUGCUGGAGUAUGGCAGAGGGAGGUGGAAUUCCACGUGUAGCGGUGAAAUGCGUAGAGAUGUGGAGGAACACCGAUGGCGAAGGCAGCCUCCUGGGCCAAUACUGACGCUCAUGCACGAAAGCGUGGGGAGCAAACAGGAUUAGAUACCCUGGUAGUCCACGCCCUAAACGAUGAUGACUAGUUGUUGGGGGAGUUAAAUCCCUUAGUAACGCAGCUAACGCGUUAAGCAUUCCGCCUGGGGAGUACGGUCGCAAGGCUGAA